rnacentral:rRNA from 1 species
UUGGAGGGCAAGUCUGGUGCCAGCAGCCGCGGUAAUUCCAGCUCCAAUAGCGUAUAUUAAAGUUGUUGCAGUUAAAAAGCUCGUAGUUGAAUUUCGGGGUCAGCAGGUUGGUCGUGCCACUGGUAUGCACUGGUCUCGCUGAUUCCUCCCUCUUGUAGAACCGUAAUGCCAUUAAGUUGGUGUUGCGGGGAAACAGGACUGUUACUUUGAAAAAAUUAGAGUGUUUAAAGCAGGC